UUUCCGUAGGUGAACCUGCGGAGGGAUCAUUCAUAAUAAGUGUUUUAUGGCACUUUUUAAAAAUCCAUAUCCACCUUGUGUGCAAUGUUAGAUCUCGUCAAUCUUGGCGAGAUUUUUAUACAUCAACUCAUUCUUUAACUAAUUUGUCUGAAAAAUAUUAUGAAUACUUAAUUCAAAAUACAACUUUCAACAACGGAUCUCUUGGCUCUC
rnacentral:misc_RNA from 1 species